CCAAAGAGCUAGAAGCAAGAUGCUUUGGGGCCCAACUCGUCCUUUGUAAAGAAGCCUGCACGUUGUGCCUUUCAGCUCUAGGGCAAUGGAGCACACCCAGAGCAGAAGUUCUACUUCAGCCUGAUGAGGCCUGCAAAGAAACUGCGUUUCACAGGCCUUUGUAAGAGAUGUUCCCGGUAGGCUGUAAGAGCACUGUGCAGAGCGAGUUGUUUCUUAGCUUCCCAAAGACCUGGAAGCAAGAUGCUUUGGGGCCCAACUCGCCCUUUGGAAAGAAGCCUGCACGUUGUGACUUUCAGCUCUAGGGCAAUGUAGAACACGCAGAGCAAAAGUUCUACUUCAGCCAUAUGAGGCCUGCAAGGAAACUGCGUUUCACAGGCCUUUGUAAGAGAUGUUCCCGGUAGGCUUCAAGAGCACUGUGCAGAGCGAGUUGUUUCUUAGCUUCCCAAAGAGCUGGAAGCAAGAUGCUGUGGGGCCCAACUCGCCCUUUGGAAAGAAGCCUGCACGUUGUGCCUUUCAGCUCUAGGGCAAUGUAGCACACGCAGAGCAGAAGUUCUACUUCAGGCAGUUCAGGCCUGCAAAGAAACUGCGUUUCACAGUCCUUUGUAAGAGAUGUUCCCGGUAGGCUGUAAGAGCACUGUGCAGAGCGAGUUGUUUCUUAGCUUCCCAAACAGCUGGAAGCAAGAUGCUUUGGGGCCCAACACGCCCUUUGGAAAGAAGCCUGCACGUUGUGCCUUUCAGCUCUAGGGCAAUGGAGCACACCCAGAGCAGAAGUUCUACUUCAGGCACUUCAGGCCUGCAAAGAAACUGCGUUUCACAGGCGUUUGUAAGAGAUGUUCCCGGUAGGCUGUAAGAGCACUGUGCAGAGCGCGUUGUUUCUUAGCUUCCCAAAGAGCUGGAAGCAAGAUGCUUUGGGGCCCAACUCGCCCUUUGGAAAGAAGCCUGCACGUUGUGCCUUUCAGCUCUAGGGCAAAGUAGCACACCCAGAGCAGAAGUCCUACUUCAGCCAGAUCAGGCCUGCAAAGAAACUGCGUUUCACAGGCCUUUGGAAGAGAUGUUCCCGGUAGGCUGUAAGAGCACUGUGCAGAGCCAGUUGUUUCUUAGCUUCCCAAAGAGCUGGAAGCAAGAUGCUUUGGGGCCCAACUCGCCCUUUGGAAAGGAGAAUGCACGUUAUGCCUUUCAGCUCUAGGGCAAUGGAGCACACCCUGAGCAGAAGUUCUACUUCAGCCAGAUCAGGCCUGCAAAGAAAGUGCGUUUCACAGGCCUUUGUAAGAGACGUUCCCGAUAGGCUGUAAGAGCACUGUGCAGAGCGAGUUGUUUCUUAGCUUCCCGAAGAGCUGGAAGCAAGAUGCUUUGGGGCCCAACUCGCCCUUUGGAAAGAAGCCUGCACGUUGUGCCUUUCAGCUCUUGGCAAUGGAGCACACCCAGAGCAGAAGUUCUACUUCAGCCAGAUGAGGCCUGCAAAGAAACUGCGUUUCACAGGCCUUUGUAAGAGAUGUUCCCGGUAGGCUGUAAGAGCAUUGUGCAGAGCGAGUUGUUUCUUAGCUUCCCAAAGAGCUGGAAGCAAGAUGCUUUGGGGCCCAACUCGCCCUUGGGAAAGAAGCCUGCACGUUGUGCCUUUCAGCUCUAGGGCAAUGGAGCACACGCACAGCAGAAUUUCCACUUCAGCCACAUCAGGACUGCAAAGAUACUGCAUUUCACAGGCCUAUGUAAGAGAUGUUGCCGGUAGGCUGUAAGAGCACUGGGCAGAGAGAGUUGUUUCUUAGCUUCCCAAAGAGCUGAAAGCAAGAUGCUUUGGGGCCCAACUCGCCCUUUGGAAAGAAGCCUGCACGUUGUGCCUUUCAGCUCUAGGGCAAUGGAGCACACGCAGAGCAGAUGUUCUACUUCAUCCAGAUCAGGCCUGCAAAGAAACUGCGUUUCACAGGCCUUUGUAAGAGAUGUUCCCGGUUGGCUGUAAGAGAGGUGUGCAGAGCGAGUUGUUUCUUAGCUUCCCAAAGAGCUGGAAGCAAGAUGCUUUGGGGCCCAACUCGCCCUUUGCAAAGAAGACAUCACUUUGUGCCUUGCAUCUCUAGGGCAAUGUAGCACAGCCAGAGCAGAAGUUCUACUUCAGCCAGAUCUGGCCUGCAAAGAAACUGCGUUUCACAGGCCUUUGUAAGAGAUGUUCCCUGUAGGCUGUAAGAGCACUGUGCAGAGCGAGUUGUUUCUUAGCUUCCCAAAGAGCUGGAAGCAAGAUUCUUUGAGGCCCAACUCGCCCUUUGGAAAGAAGACUGCACGUUGCGCCUUUCAGCUCUAGGGCAAUGUAGCACACCCAGAGCAGAAUUCCUACUUCAGCCAGAUCAGGCCUGCAAAGAAACUGCGUUUCACAGGCCUUUGUAAGAGAUGUUCCCGG
rnacentral:lncRNA from 1 species